rnacentral:rRNA from 1 species
AUUGAACGCUGGCGGCAGGCCUAACACAUGCAAGUCGAGCGGAUGAAGGGAGCUUGCUCCUGGAUUCAGCGGCGGACGGGUGAGUAAUGCCUAGGAAUCUGCCUGGUAGUGGGGGAUAACGUCCGGAAACGGGCGCUAAUACCGCAUACGUCCUGAGGGAGAAAGUGGGGGAUCUUCGGACCUCACGCUAUCAGAUGAGCCUAGGUCGGAUUAGCUAGUUGGUGGGGUAAAGGCCUACCAAGGCGACGAUCCGUAACUGGUCUGAGAGGAUGAUCAGUCACACUGGAACUGAGACACGGUCCAGACUCCUACGGGAGGCAGCAGUGGGGAAUAUUGGACAAUGGGCGAAAGCCUGAUCCAGCCAUGCCGCGUGUGUGAAGAAGGUCUUCGGAUUGUAAAGCAAUUUAAGUUGGGAGGAAGGGCAGUAAGUUAAUACCUUGCUGUUUUGACGUUACCAACAGAAUAAGCACCGGCUAACUUCGU